rnacentral:pre_miRNA from 1 species
AUUCUACUCCCUCCGUUCCACAAUACAUGCCUUCUAUUUGUCAAAAUAUAGAUGUAUCUAGACAUGUUUUAGUAUAUAGGUACAUCCAUUUUUGGACAAAUGGAAGUCAAGUAUUUUGGAAUGGAGGGAGUACAUA